AUCCAGAACCUGCAUCGUACUCUGCAUGCCCACUAGGGCUAUCCAGCAGUCAGCCUUGCCUGGACCUUGUCUUCCCAAAGCCUUCCAGAUGCCGUCCUUUUACAACUGAGUAGCAACGUGUAAAAAAGAAUAGAGGGAAGGGUUUGAGAAUAAAAUGUUGGAAAUGAAAAAGUACGUGAGGAUGCGGCGCAAGCUCCCGCGGCUCUGCAGACACCCACGGGUGCCAGGGGAACUCAGGGGCUGUGCACCCCUGCCCAAGAGCAGAGCCUGAUAUGCCCUGACAAAGAGCUAUUGAUGGUGCGCUUGUGUGAAUUGGCCCAGUGCUGGUCACAGCCAACUUCUGCAGGACCUGCUGCCCCUGCUCUACAAUACACUCCAGUGUGCUGAGCCAUUUGUGAAAGGUCAGAAAUGAACAGAGAAAUGGACUGGAGUCAAAAACAAGUAGUCCUAUAAAUAUCAGUCAUCGUCAAAAGCGGUUUAUUCCAUUCCUCCCCUCUCUCUCCCUCUGUGUGUCUCUCCCUCCCUCUGUUGUGGUUUCCCAGAUAUAACUCCAUGUUUCUGACUGUGAAGCUCUGAAAGGGAAGCAGCACACACACUGCAGCUUCUGCUUCCAUUUUGCACACAUGGAAUAAUCCUCAGUCCCGCAAGCAGGACUGACAGCCAGCACCGAGUCCAGACAUCAUCUGCACUCAGAUGCUGUAUUUUGAUUGCUCGGGUUUUCUUUAUCUGUGCAAAACUCAUUUGCUACAGCUUAAGAAUUAGCUUUGGCCGCACACAGCUUGGACUGGGACUCCUGAGGGCUCUUCUCUGACUUCACAAUGACUUUAGCAGCUAAAUUAGAGGAUAUUGAAGUGACGCUGGAGCACCUACUAAUGGAUGUGUUCGUAAGUAAGCUACAAUUUCCUAUUUAAAGCAGGAUGCUAGCAAUCCAGAAGGCAGUAUACAAAGUUAAUGGUGUGUGCUAGGGUUGCAUUGGCUUAAUUCCUUCACAUCUCCUGCUUAGCAGUGGAUGCAGCGCUAGCAGCCUUGUGGCACAGCAAAGCCUCCACUGCAAAUGGCAACAUGUAAACUGGAACAGCAUGACUUCAGGGCAGGAUAUACUUUGCACUGGUUUUGUAUAUCACCUACAGUGUUGGUGAAGCACGUGCAAAGGGGGAGAGUUUGGGUCAGAACAGUUUGCAAGCAAAAGGAGUGCACUGACAAAAGUGUUAAGCUGUGUAAUUGCUUAGCAUCAAGUGUCUUUGGCUUGGGGAUUUUGAUAGCUGUGAGGUUAUGGUCUUUUAGUAGUCUGAGUUUGGGGUUAGUUAGAG